ensembl:lncRNA
GUCAUUGUCAAACAAGCUACAUGAUCAUUUUGAAAGAAAUUCUUAUGGGUUUAAGCAAUGUGAGUGAGUGAAGAAUGAGUGAACUCUCCUUUUAGGUGAGCCAUUUCCUCUUUACAUCAAGUAUUUUAAUAGCAGCGUUUUUUUUUUUUUUUUGCAUUUCUGCCAGAUGAACAGGUCAAGUUAAACAUCUCUCAGAAACCACAGACAAUAUUUCGAUAGCAUCUUUGCAUUUUUGUUGCAGCGGAUAAGCUAUGUUUCACACCUCUCUUUUCAUUUCUGGAAACUAAUAAUCACACCAACCAAAUGCACAGGGUUGCACUCACCUGCUCAUUUGUAUAUGACUAUUUUCCACAUCUCAAAAUAACAGUGUAGUCAACAAAACAAUUUCACACAUACUUACAAUUUAUAUUUGUAUACAAACUUUUUAAACAGAAGCCUUUAGGUUUUUAACCCUAUAAAGCUACUGUAUCAUAUAUGAUACACAAAUUUGUAAGGCCUGUGAAUGAUACAAAUUUAGCUGAAAAUCCAUCUACUCCAUGUCUUCUGUCAUCUGAUUGACGUUUUUAACAAGUAAAUGUCCUUUUCAGUGUAAUUUUACAAACGUCCAUCAGCUGGUGCUUCACGUGUCUUUCUGCUGUCAAAUGUUUACUGAUUUUUAUCAGGUUAAUGUAAGAAUAACUGUAGUAAUAUUUCCAGACGAACACUUGUUGGACUGAAGCAGCUCAGCUUUACUUGAUUCUCCAUCAAUCAUGUUUUAGAGUCUCAAAUCUGAUCAUCAGGAUCUUUUGAGGAGCGUUUGUUUCCAGAAGCUUUACUUUCACUGUUCCUCAGUGGAGGAAUGAUCUUCACAAGCCUCCAGAACAUCUCACAUCUUCUGAGGAGCCUUUAUUUCUUCAUCUCUCAAUCACUGCAUUAUAUGUUUGGAUCAUUUACAUCUCAUCUUACGAAGACAUUAUUGGAGAUAUAGAGUGACCACUGAUCUUUAGAAUUUUUUUAAUCAUAUAAAUUACACCAAAUUGCAUUUUUUGCUCAGUUUGAGUCUCUGAAAUAAAAUUAAGCAGUGUUUUCCUCCAUAGGCUAUUAUAACAAUAUCAUAUUAUAUGAGCCAUAAAAGCCUGAUGUAUCAAAUAUGAUCCUCAAAAAAAGUCCAAGUCAGAUUUUACACGCUAAGGUUCAUGAGAAACAUAUUCAGUCUGUUAAUAACAAAUGAGUCUGUCAAGACAUGAAGCAGUAUAUUCAGAAUGUCAGGCUUUCAAAACAGAUGAAUAAAUCUUACUGAAUUGCUCCUCACAGACUUUAAAAAGUCUUUUCAUUUCAGUUUUAGCACUGUCACUUAUGAGACAGUAAAGGAUGGGGUCUAAAACACUGUUUAUUGUAGUCGUAGCCACAAACACCAUGUAAUAGUCUCUUAGAUUGUGCGUGACGCUGCAGUUUCCAGGCUCCAGCAGUCCUCUGAUGAACAUCACCACCUGGAAGGGCAUAAAAGCCAACAAGUAGGUGAAAAGGAGAGAGAAGAGAAGGCGGCAGAUCUUUCUCCGUUCGCUGACCACAGUAGAGGUGCUUUUCUACAGCGCCCUGAUGAUCUCCUCGAAGCAGAAGCUCAUGAUGAGCACAGGAACUAUGGCGUUAUUUCCCUGUCAAAUGUCGAGAGCGCAUUAUUUUAGCGCGAAAGUACAUUAAUAUAAUGUGCGAGCGCGAAUCUCUCUGCUCGCGCGCGGGAUAUAAUGCGCGGAGCGUGAAUCUCUCCUGGGCGCGCGCUCUCAGAUACAAGUUGCUCUUGUAAUAAUCUUCUUCUUCUUCUUUCUGUUUAUUGGCGGUUGGCAGACUAGCUUAUUAGUGCAUUACCGCCACCAUCUGAACUGGAGUGUGGAGCAUCGAUGCAUGUAUAUGUAUCAUAUAUG